AGAUGAUGCAUUUUGGUGGUGACAAAGAAUGCAGAGGGAGCAAUGUUGUGUAAGUUCCAAGGCAAGACCUUAAGAAGCUUUGUGUGUCUCUCACCUUCUUGUGUGACUCCUGGAACCACAUAAGCAAGCUUGAAGUAGACUAUGAAUGAUGAGAGACCACGAGGAGAGAGAGGCCCAGCCAGCAUCCAGUACUAUGACUCCAGAUGUACACAUCAAGCCUUGGCCUUGUCUCUGACCGUGGCCACACCAGUUACCCUAUACAAGAGCAGGAAAGAGAACCAUCCAAAGUGCCCGUCAAACACAGAAUCAUGAGAGAUAAUAGAUUCUUGUGUUUUAAGCUACUAAAUUUUUGUUUGCUGUACUACAGGUUUUUUUGGUGAAAGGAAGGUAAGUCUCAGGACCCCCAAAUCACUAAGCCAAAAAGAAAGUUGUUGGCCGGGUGCGGUGGCUCACAUCUGUAAUCCCAGCACUUUGGGAGGCCGAGGCGGGCAGAUCACGAGGUCAGAAGAUCGAGACCAUCCUGGCUAACACAGUGAAACCCCGUCUCUACUAAAAAUACAAAAAAUUAGCCGAGUGUGGUGGUGGGCACCUGUAGUCCCAGCUACUCGGGAGGCUGAGGCAGGAGAAUGGCAUGAACCCAGGAGACAGAGCUUGCAGUGAGCCGAGAUCGCGCCACUGCACUCCAGCCGGGGCGACAGAGCGAGACUCCAUUUCAAAAAAAGAAAAGAAAAAAAAAAGAAAGACAGUUGUUGCCUUUUUUGGGGUUGAAAUUUGAACCCAAAAAAUCACUAAGUCAAGCUGGGGACUGCAUCAGGCAAACUUGGCUCCCAUUUUUUCCCCAAAUAAGAUAGUUACAAAGAUUAAAAAACUACAUAUCUCCUUCAGAGUUUGCCCCCAAGGAAUUUCCAUGUGGGCCUCAGCAUCUUUACCCUAAAACAGUUCUGUUGAAUUUCACCUUGGCAAUGUAAAUUGAUAGUUUAUCUUAACAGAUGCGGGACAAGGACAGAACUCAAAGUCAUCCCUCUUCCCACCCGAGACAAAUGCAUAUCUGAUUGCUUCCUCCGCCUGUUGCUUAUGUAAAAAUGCAGAUUCACUGAGACAGACUGAGGCAUAAGUGACUCUUCCUCUACCCUCCUCACAUGUAAAUUGUGUACUCAGUGAAAGGCUGAUCAGAAUCAAAAUAAUACAACCUUUUGUCUCUUAUCUACCUACCACCUGGAAGCCCCCACUUCGAGUUGCCCCACCUUUCCAGACUGAACCAAUGUACAUCUUAAAUGUACUGAUUGAUGUCUCAUAUCUCCCUAAAAUGUAUAAAACCAAGCUAUACCCCUAUCACUUUGGGUACAAGUCAUCAGGACCUCCUGAGGCUAUGUCACGGGCACGUCCUUAACCUUGGCAAAAUAAACUUUCUACAUUGAUUGA
rnacentral:lncRNA from 10 species